rnacentral:lncRNA from 1 species
CUCAGCUCACUGAAACCUCUGCCUCCCGGGUUCAAGCAAUUCUCCUGCCUCAGCCUCCCGAGUAGCUGGGAUUACAGGCGCCUGCCACCACGCCCGGGUAAUUUUUGUAUUUUGAGGAGACACGGGGUUUCACCAUGUUGGCCAGACUAGUCUAUAACUCUUGACCUCAGGUGAUCCACCCACCUCGGCCUCCCAAAGUACUGGGAUUACAGGCGUGAGCCACCACGCUUGGCCUCUGAUUUCUUCAAUAGUGUUUAAAAAAUAAUGGGUUUUUUUCAUUGUCCUAAACCAUCUAAAGUACUCAUAGAAUAUUAAAUAUGUAACAUCCUAAGAUAUUUGUAGCUAUGUCUACCUAUCUGUGUGUUUUGACUUGGGAUAAGUAUUAACAUUGGUUUCUGUGCAUUUCAGAUGACCACCUAAGAAAGGAGGAACAGAAAAGUACUAACAUUGAAGAUCUUCAUGUUUCUCAGGCAGUCAACAGAUAAUGCUUUGUUUGGGGUAUCUUUUGUCUUAAAAUUGUAUUAUUAAUUAAAUAACUUAUUUAUUGUCCCAAUGUUACCAAAAUGCACCACUAAUGUUUGUAGAAAUUGGAGUUUCUACAAAACACCCCUCAUGUUUAACUACAUUUGUGAAUAAAAGCUAACUCUUGUCAUCUAGCUUAUUGGAUUUGACUUGAAAAAAAAAGUAUUGUUUUUACGAAGUAUUUUUUGUUUUUUUGAGAUGGAGUCUCGCUCUGUCACCCAGACUGGAGUGCAGUGGCACGAUCUCGGCUCACUGCAAUCUCUGCCUCCCGGAUUCAAGUGAUUCUCCUGCCUCAGCCUCCCAAGUAGCUGGGAAAACAGGCCUGUGCCACCACACCGGAGUAGUUUUUGUAUUUUUAGUAGAGAUGGGGUUUCACCAUGCUGGCCAGGCUGGUCUUGAACUCCUGACCUCAGGUGAUCUGUGUGCCCCAGCCUCCCAAAGCGCUGGGAUUACAGGUGUGAGCCACUGAGCCCAGCCAUUUAGGAAGUAUUAUAAAGGCCCUUAAAGUUUGUAAGGAAAUGAAAGGGCUUUGUAUUACCUUUUCAAUAGGCAACAAUGUACUUUUUCUUUCCUUAGACUUUGGCUUACUGGAAGAUUUAAUUAAAAGGUAGAGGAGAAGUAAAUUUGCUGUAAUAAUUUUGCUGUAAAUAAAACAAAGAGUUUAUUUUAUUAGAUAAAGAAUGUGAAGUAAGCAUGAAGAGACAGGCUUUGGGAGAAAUACCAGAAAGGGAUUUUUCAAAGAUGGCAUUGUUUAAUCUCCGUGUGGCCCUCGGUUGUGCAAUCACAGAUGAGCCAGAAGAGGGCCAGCCCCCUACUUGUUUGGGCUCCGAAACUCUUACCAAACAUCAAUUUUUAUUCUUGGGAUAGAAAAAUAGUAUGUGCUAUCUCUAAUACGCUACUUCGAUAUUUAUUAAAGAAGUAUUUUUAAUGUAGUGUCCACAGGCUCAUUUCAUUGAAAACAACUGACUAUGAUGAUAGACAGCUCCUGAUUGGCAAAAGUUCGAUGGUAUAUUCAGAAUUAAAUUUUGCCUGCACACCUAAACACUGACAACAUUUAGCUUAAAGGUUUUCCAUGGAGAAGAGUGGUAAGAGCUGUAGUUAGCAAAAUUGGCAUCCUCUUUAGGGUGUCAAUUCUGUGCUGCUUUGCAAAUUGUUGAAACUUUUGAUUUUCUGUUUGGCAAUGCUAGUCAGUGUUCACUUCUUACAGAUUAGCCAAGAAUUUUUAUCUAAAUGCAGAAACUUAUUAAUGAAAUCCAUUUAAACUAUACUUACACAACAUUUUGGGAGGCCCUGCUGGUAAAAUUAUAUAUGGAUGCAGAAGUAUUGCAAGAGUCCAUUUUCCAUUUUUAAAUCUGCAAUAUCUGAUUACAUUGAUGAAUUCCGUUGUAUUGUAUGUGUGAAUAUAAAUAUCUGAAUUCUCCCGGGGGACUUGGUUUUCGUCCAAGGAUGUUGGCAGUGGACACUUAGUUUACCUCAGGAAUUGCAAUCAUGUAAGACUAUAUUCGGAAAAAAUGCUGGAGUAUAUAAUUUUGGAUACUGAUAUAAAAUCAUCAAGAUGGAAGUUAAGCAGAAUUGUCACGUGUAGUCCAUAGCGCUUUUAUAUGCAUUAUUCUGUAAUUUGUUUGUACUGCGGCAACUUUUUAUACUUUCAAUGUAUCAUUUAAUAAAAAAAAUAAGCAAGUCA